CAGUCGCCGCGGUAAUACGAACCGUGCGAACGUUAUUCGGAAUCACUGGGCUUAAAGCGCGUGUAGGUGGGUGGGUACGUCCGUCGUUGAAAGCCCCCGGCUCAACCGGGGAACUGGCGCGGAUACGGCCUACCUGGAGGGACGUAGGGGGACCUGGAACUUCCGGUGGAGCGGUGAAAUGCGUUGAGAUCGGAAGGAACGCCCGUGGCGAAAGCGAGGUCCUGGACGUUUUCUGACACUGAGACGCGAAAGCCAGGGGAGCGAACGGGAUUAGAUACCCCUGUAGUCCCUGUCUCUUAUA
rnacentral:rRNA from 1 species